CCGCAAGAAGUCUCCGGGUAAAGGUUCUUUAAGUCAUGAAUCAGGCUCCUGUGUGUACGUGUGUCUUUCUUAAAAACUGGUCCAGACGGAUUAGUAGUAGAGAGUGGGAUCUCCCACCUCACCUUCAUCACUGCGUUCUCUACCUAGCGACUCGCUCCCAGUCUCAGGGAUCUGACAGCCAGGGUUCGCGACCUCAGGGUUGGGAGCAGUCAGCACCAGAUAUCCCUGCCCCCUCCUGGGGUUGCUGCCACCCGUGCCUAGAAUGUGCCAGUGGGUGCAGGCGGGCGAGCUGGACGCUUCUACCGUAAGAAGGGAGUUCAGCCCUCGCCUGAGACCUGCAAUCCUCAGAUUCCCUGGGGACCGCGAAACUCCCAGUCGGAGGCACUCCCUGCCUUGCCGCCCACCCAUUCCCCCCUCCUUACCUCAGCACGCAGCCCCUCCCUGCGUGAUGAUGCAAACCAGUGGGGAGGACGGGCUCUGGGAAGGGUGGGGAGUGUCGGAGAGCUAGCGAAGGAGGGAGGGAGUGGGAGGAGGAGGAGAGGGAGCCGAACGACCAUUUAAAGCGAUAGCAAUCCUUGCCCUCUCCCCAGUGCUGGGUUGUUGGAGAGCGCGAGCGGCAAGCCGGGGAGCGCGAGCGCGGCGCGCGGGCCGGCGAACCCGGGAGCGCACGGAGCCCCAAUCUGGCAGGCGCCGCGGGACCCCCCAUCUUCUCUGGCUGCCCCUCCCCGGGCGCCCCCACCUUCCGUGCCUGCAGGAGUCUCAGGGCUUCCCCGGAGGACCUCACCCCAAGGGGCCCGGACCCCGGCGAGCCCGCCACCAUCCCCUCCAGCGCUGCCGCCACCACCGCAGCAGCCGGAGCAGCAUGGUCCAGCUGGGGAAGCUGCUCCGCGUCCUGACUUUGAUGAAGUUCCCCUGCUGCGUGCUGGAGGUGCUCCUGUGCGCGCUGGCGGCGGCGGCGCGCGGCCAGGAGAUGUACGCCCCGCACUCUAUCCGGAUCGAGGGGGACGUCACCCUCGGGGGGCUGUUCCCGGUGCAUGCCAAGGGUCCUAGCGGAGUGCCCUGCGGCGACAUCAAGAGGGAGAACGGGAUCCACAGGCUGGAAGCGAUGCUCUACGCCCUGGACCAGAUCAACAGCGAUCCCAACCUGCUGCCCAACGUGACGCUGGGCGCGCGGAUCCUGGACACUUGUUCCAGGGACACUUACGCGCUCGAACAGUCGCUCACUUUCGUCCAGGCGCUCAUCCAGAAGGACACCUCCGACGUGCGCUGCACCAACGGCGAGCCUCCGGUUUUCGUCAAGCCGGAGAAAGUAGUUGGAGUGAUUGGGGCUUCAGGGAGUUCGGUCUCCAUCAUGGUAGCCAACAUCCUGAGGCUCUUCCAGAUCCCCCAGAUCAGUUACGCAUCAACGGCACCUGAGUUAAGUGAUGACAGGCGCUACGACUUCUUCUCUCGUGUGGUCCCACCUGACUCCUUCCAAGCUCAGGCUAUGGUGGACAUUGUAAAGGCCCUAGGCUGGAAUUAUGUGUCUACCCUUGCAUCUGAAGGAAGUUACGGAGAGAAAGGUGUGGAAUCCUUCACGCAGAUUUCCAAAGAGGCAGGUGGGCUCUGCAUUGCACAGUCUGUGAGAAUCCCCCAAGAGCGCAAAGACAGAACCAUUGACUUUGAUAGAAUUAUCAAACAGCUCCUGGACACCCCCAACUCCAGGGCCGUCGUGAUUUUUGCCAACGAUGAGGAUAUAAAGCAGAUCCUUGCAGCAGCCAAAAGAGCUGACCAAGUAGGCCAUUUUCUUUGGGUGGGAUCAGACAGCUGGGGUUCCAAAAUAAACCCACUGCACCAGCAUGAAGAUAUUGCAGAAGGAGCCAUCACCAUUCAGCCCAAGCGAGCAACAGUCGAAGGGUUUGAUGCCUAUUUUACGUCACGCACACUUGAAAACAACAGAAGAAACGUAUGGUUUGCUGAAUACUGGGAGGAAAACUUCAACUGCAAGUUGACAAUUAGUGGGUCAAAGAAAGAAGACACAGAUCGCAAAUGCACAGGACAGGAGAGAAUUGGGAAAGAUUCCAACUAUGAACAGGAGGGUAAAGUUCAGUUUGUGAUUGAUGCGGUCUAUGCAAUGGCUCAUGCCCUUCAUCAUAUGAACAAGGAUCUCUGUGCCGACUACCGAGGGGUCUGUCCGGAAAUGGAGCAAGCUGGGGGAAAGAAGUUGUUGAAGUAUAUCCGCAAUGUUAAUUUCAAUGGUAGUGCAGGCACCCCAGUAAUGUUUAACAAGAAUGGGGAUGCACCAGGGCGUUAUGACAUCUUUCAGUACCAGACAACAAACACCACCAACCCUGGUUACCGUCUGAUUGGACAGUGGACAGAUGAACUUCAGCUCAAUAUAGAGGACAUGCAGUGGGGUAAAGGAGUCCGGGAAAUCCCCCCCUCAGUGUGCACACUGCCAUGCAAGCCUGGGCAAAGAAAGAAGACUCAGAAGGGAACUCCGUGCUGCUGGACCUGUGAGCCUUGUGAUGGCUACCAGUACCAGUUUGAUGAGAUGACAUGCCAACAUUGCCCCUACGACCAGAGGCCCAAUGAAAACCGAACCGGCUGCCAGGAUAUCCCCAUCAUCAAAUUAGAGUGGCAUUCCCCCUGGGCCGUCAUCCCUGUCUUCCUAGCAAUGUUGGGGAUCAUUGCCACCAUCUUUGUCAUGGCCACUUUCAUCCGCUACAAUGACACGCCCAUUGUCCGGGCAUCUGGGCGGGAACUGAGCUACGUUCUGUUGACUGGCAUCUUUCUUUGCUACAUUAUCACUUUCCUGAUGAUAGCCAAACCUGAUGUGGCCGUGUGUUCUUUCCGGAGAGUUUUCUUGGGCUUGGGUAUGUGCAUCAGUUAUGCAGCCCUCUUGACAAAAACCAAUCGGAUUUAUCGCAUAUUUGAGCAGGGCAAGAAAUCAGUGACAGCUCCCAGACUCAUAAGCCCAACAUCACAGCUGGCAAUCACUUCCAGUUUAAUAUCAGUUCAGCUUCUAGGAGUUUUCAUUUGGUUUGGUGUUGACCCACCCAACAUCAUCAUAGACUAUGAUGAACAUAAGACAAUGAACCCUGAGCAGGCCAGGGGAGUUCUCAAAUGUGACAUUACAGAUCUCCAAAUCAUUUGCUCCUUGGGAUAUAGCAUUCUUCUCAUGGUCACAUGUACUGUGUAUGCCAUCAAGACUCGGGGUGUCCCAGAGAAUUUUAAUGAAGCCAAACCCAUUGGAUUCACUAUGUACACGACAUGUAUAGUGUGGCUUGCCUUCAUUCCCAUUUUUUUUGGCACUGCUCAGUCAGCGGAAAAGCUCUACAUACAAACUACCACGCUUACAAUCUCCAUGAACCUAAGUGCAUCAGUGGCGCUGGGGAUGCUAUACAUGCCGAAAGUGUACAUCAUCAUUUUCCACCCUGAACUCAAUGUCCAGAAACGGAAGCGAAGCUUCAAGGCGGUAGUCACAGCAGCCACCAUGUCUUCACGGCUGUCACACAAACCCAGUGACAGACCCAACGGGGAGGCAAAAACAGAACUCUGUGAAAACGUAGACCCAAACAACUGUAUACCACCAGUAAGAAAGAGUGUACAAAAGUCUGUUACUUGGUACACUAUCCCACCAACAGUAUAGCUUUUGCCUGCUUUCUAAAAGCACAUCAUCUGGCCAGGAUUUGUGAACGCUAAGGGCAUUUUUAAGUUGGGUCCAUCAAAGAAAUGUUUGUCAAGCACCACUCCUCUGGGCCAGCCCUGGACAGACUAGGAAUUGGGGACAGAAGCAGACGAUACCCUCAGGGAGCCCAGAUCUGAUGGAAGACUCGAAGGUAAGAAAUGAUCAUUCAGAUUGGCAAUGCCUCUUAGAAGAGGUCUAUGCCAAGUGCUAGCAAGCUAUAGGUGGAGAGCAUCACUCAGGUUUUGUUUGAGCUGGUCUCAAAUGAUGAAGGACUCCAGGCAACCAUAAAGAAAAGUCACAAAAGGCAGAAAACAAAUAUGCACAAAGAACCCAGCGUACAAAAGAAUAUGGUAUAUGGUGAGACUAGAAGGCAGUUCUGUGAGGCUGGAAUAUUAUGUUUUGAGGCAGACAGUUGCAGGGAAUGACAUGCAGGAAAGCAGCUGGUGUGUAGAGGGACUGAGUCACCUGUAUCUUUGUGCCUGUAGCAAAGGGCCUGGCAAAUACUAGGUUCUCAGAAAAUGUGCAUGGAUUGACUGGAGUAUAAUACCUCACAUACUAAAGGCUCCUAAACUUACCUAGAACACAUUAUGUACACAUAAUAACAAAAUUCCGCAUCGACAGACUCAGCAAGUAGAACUGUAUUCUUCCAGAUAAAACCUCUAAAAGCUAUAAACUGCCUUGAAAGGCAUUUUUUUUACCCUGAUGUCACAGGUUUCAAAACUAUGCCAUAGUUAUUACAUAAAACUCUUAAAACUGACAAUCAAUGCUAUAUCUGCAUUUGUGUAAUUAACUAAGAUGUCUUUUGAUGAGCUAACCCUGUGUAUAAAACCAACAAAGUUUUAUGCCCACUUCUUUCCUUUUAUGGACUACUGAUACCCUAUUUGUGUUUCAAAGGGCACAUGAACUUCAAAUUUACCACUGGAAAUGGAUCCUAUGCACUUGCUUAAGUAGUUAGCACUUCUAAUUUGGUAAAAAAAAAAAAAUAUUAUCAAUUUCAUUGUUUUCUGAUUAUUAAGUGCUUUUAAAUUUUUUUAAAAAUUUUUUAGAGACUGGCAUUUAGGACAGAUUUUGUCUUUUAGGCCUCAAGUAUCAUUUGCAUUUAAAAAGAAAACAGUGUAUCCUAAACCAAAGUCAGUUAAUCUGUACAAUCUUUCUUCUUCCCAAUUACUGGAAUGAGCAUCCUCUCAGGACUCAAGUGACGGUGACUCUUAUUUCUGCCUUCUAAAGACAUGUCUCAGCUUCGCAGAUUUUUUUUUUUUUUGGCUGUACAAUGGAACUUGGAUGCAUUUUAAAUUAACUUUCUCUAGGAAUCAAAGAGUAACCUCUGAGGACCCCAGCUUGCACUAAGAGGACUGAGCAAAUGUGUCCAAAGCCUGUUCUUGCUGAAGUGACCCAAACACUUAGAAGAACAUGACAAGAAUCAGCAAUCCCACUUCACGUGAAAAGUGCAAGCACACCUGGCCAUGUGCACAGGCAUACAGUCAGGCGGUGGUCCAAGGCAAGUAUCAUUUCACAUCCUUCUAAGUGUCCUGAGGAAGCUUUGCUACCCAGCCCACCAAUGAAUGUAAUGAAGAGACCUUCUCCAGUUUCCAGGACAAGCUUAGUCCCUAGGUGGUCCUCCUCACAUACCGUCAAUGUCCUCUCAAAAUUCCAAAACCAUGAGAAAUUACACUAAGGAAGUCUUCAGACCUUAGCCCAUUAGAACCUUUUCUAGGGGCUUUAUUUAGAAAAGACAUCAAUACCAUCAAAUUGAGAAAGAGAUCCCUACUAUGAUCUACUGUGAUGUGACCCUUUCAAAUCCAUUCCCUCCCUGGGUAGUGGGUUCUCAGUGCAUCCUGGGUAAAGAGGCAGGUACUGUAGCAUCACUGGGGGCUCCUACCUAACUCCCCUACAAAUAAAAGGAAGUGAAAUAGAGGGUCAGCAUGUGAUACCCUGCCUCAUUUAUGCCAAGUGGGUAAAGUGCUGACCCUUUAGAAAAGAUCAUCUCUCUGUGCCUCAGUUUCCUCAUCUGUAAAACAUAACCUCAUAGGGUAGUUGUGAAGACUAAUAAAAGUAAAGCACUUAGAACUGAGUUUGGCACAGUAGUUAUUCAAAUGUUAACUAUCAUUGUUGUUAUUAGGUCACUUAACAUUAACUGAA